UUCUCUCCCCAUCUGCUCGCCGCCGCCGCCACCUCCCGAUCCAAUCUCACCCCGCCGCCUCCCGAUCCACCGCUCGCCGUCCUCCUCACUCACCGCCGACCUCGCCGUCCUCCUCACCCACCGCUGCCGACCUCGUCCCUCCCUCCCCUCACCAUCUCUCCCUCGUCUCACCUCACCGCGAGCCCCGCAACCCAAUCCAUCGCCGCCUCCCUUCCAGAUCCAUCGCCGCCACCGCCACCUCCCUCCGGUGGAGCUCGCCGUCGUUCAUGGCCUCCCCCACGCCCCCCUCCUCUCGCCCCUCCCCUUCCCUCACCACCCAACCGAACCAACCAGCCCACCAACCCGAAGAGAAAAGCGAGCGGAGGCGAGAUGGCGACCGGACGCGAGGCCGGCGAGGCGGCGCCGGGGGAGGAGGAGGAGCAGAGGGAGUGGGCGGAUCUGACGCCGAUGUGCCUGGCGGAGGCGUUCUCGUGGCUGGGCCUGGAGGACCUAUGGUGCGGCGCCAUGGCGUGCUGCCGCUCCUGGCGGGCGGCCGCGCGCUCCCGGCCGGCGCUCUUCGCCGCGCUCGACCUCCGUCCGGCUUUCGAGGCCGUCGGUGCUGCACUUCUGGGCGCCGCGCUCGACCCCACCACGCGCCGGCCAGGUUCGCCGCCUAGGCGACGGGUGGGACGAUCCGUCAGAGGAGGGGGCGCGGAGGGAGAGGAAGGUGGAGGUGGCGCAGAGCAAACUGCCGAGAAGCUGCAGAGCCAGGCCUCCCCCGACGACGAGUUCGAGAACGAGAAGUUCGAGCUCCAGAAGGAUCUGUUCCAUGAGGUUGAAACUGUGGAUGUCUACUCUUCCAUAAGCUGUCUGGAUCUUCGUACUCUUGCUGUGCUGGCAAACUCCACCCUGUCCAGCUCAAGGUUGGAAUGUCUAUUGACCCAAAGCUGUUUCAAAGCUGUUUCUGUCAAACUUCCCAGCAGUCUCUUUGAUAUUAGGUCUCUUAAUUAUUGGAAAGACACUGGUAGUAACAUUUAUUGGUAGAGUGUUUGGAGUUUCCACCAUAGCUGUUGUUCGGGUUGGUCUUUUGUUUGCACCUGGUGGGGACUUUGAUAGCUAUGUUCCUCCUCCUCUACUGUUUAGUAGGCAGGCAGAAUACCCAAGUACUACUUACUUCUUGAGCAUCGCCUACAUCAGCCAAAGGCUCUGAAAAUUGGUUAUUAAUCAAAAACUGAAUUUGUUUUGUUGUGCAAUAUAUUUACACAUGAGCCAAACACCCUGGUUCUUACUUACCACUAUAAAUAAUUGUCUUCAAAGAGGGGUUGGAUUUCCUUUUUGAACUGCAAUCUGCAUCGCCUAGUAAUUACUAGUAUGUUUCAUUUUGGGGGCAAUGUAUGUGGUUGUUUCGCAGGUAGUAACUAUACAUUUGAUGUGCCUGUGAUUGAGCACGAACCAGCUUGUUAGUUUCGCAGGAGGAGCAUGCCUAGGAGAAGAGAGGGCUCAUUCCACUUGUUUGGAAGAGAAGACGAUGAAGCAUGGUGGUUAUCUAGAUAAUCUGCCUUGUGUUUUGGUUGUACUUUGUACCUAGUUAUAUUGUAUUCUGUUGUAGUCAGCACAUUCUGGAGCAGAAUCCAGUGAAGUUGUCAAACUGUAAGAAAUGUGAGAAAUAUACUUUGUACCUAGUUCUAUUUCAUUUGAAAUAUUUGUCAUU